rnacentral:rRNA from 1 species
UACGGAAGGCAGCAGUGGGGAAUAUUGCACAAUGGGCGAAAGCCUGAUGCAGCUAUGCCGCGUGUAUGAAGAAGGCCUUAGGGUUGUAAAGUACUUUCAUCGGGGAGGAAAAACAAAACUAAUAAUUUUAUUUCUUGACGUUACCCGAAAAAGAAGCACCGGCUAACUCCGUGCCAGCAGCCGCGGUAAUACGGAGGGUGCUAGCGUUAAUCAGAAUUACUGGGCGUAAAGAGCACGUAGGUGGUUAAUUAAGUUGGAUGUGAAAUCCCCGGGCUUAACCUGGGAAUGGCAUUCAAGACUGGUUAGCUAGAGUCUUGUAGAGGGGGUAGGAUUCCAUGUGUAGCGGUGAAAUGCGUAGAGAUGUGGAGGAAUACCGGUGGCGAAGGCGGCCCCUGGACAAAGACUGACGCUCAUGUGCGAAAGCGUGGGGAGCAAACAGGGAUUAGAUACC